AAAGACAUCCUCAUCCCACACUUCACAAUACUAAUAUUUGCAACAGCACAAAACACCCACCUCCUCCAUCCUCAUUAUUCUCCACAAUUAUUAUCUAGCCACCACAAAUUACCGUCAUGUUGGGCAAAAGGCCACAACCACUGAUCGGAAAAAUCUCCGAACUUUUGGUGUCCGGUGGCCGCGCUGCCGCUCUUUUCGACGCCAUCGGAAGCCCGAGAAGCCCAUUUGAACAUAUGAACUUAAAGAUGCAACAAUCACCUAAAGGUCUAAAAAGUUACGACCUUGGUGGUGUUGGUCUGGGAAUUGUGGUGGCUCUAGAUAAAUCCGAGGAACCAGGGCACGAAAUUCUGCCCAAACACGCCGUUUGCACAUCAAGUUUGAACAAAUCGGUUAAACAAAGCGCGUUUCAAAAGGGUGUGACCGAAAUUCCCGUCGGAAGCUCCGAGGACUACACAUAUGUCACAUACCAUAUUUCCAACAAGACGAUCACUAAGGUUUAUUACGAUGGCGGUGAAGGUGGAAUCCUAACACAUGGCUACUAUAACAUUAACAACAACACCAACAACGUCGGUGGUGUUAGAAGAUUCCCUCAAACGCAUAAUUUAAUUCAAGAUGAUGACGAACCGUCAUAUGCAACAUCAGAUUU
rnacentral:lncRNA from 1 species